UAGGACUAUAUAAAAAAAUUUAACAUAACUUCUAGAUAUUGAUCCUACGUCUCUGAUUCGUCAACUAAGAUUUAUGACUUUUGCUUAAAAAUUGACUUAAAAAUCAGGCAGCUGGGAUAUAUCCACAGUUUUAACACGAUGCUAUCCAUUAAUGAAAAAUCUGUAAUUAAAAAUUAAAAUAAAUAACAAUCAGCGUCCAGUCUUCUCAUCUACCCAUCUCACUCCUCACCUUCUACCUAUCUCACUCUCUCAUCUCACCCAACUCUCUCCCGGACCAUGCAUUGCCGCCGGCCAUCUCCGGUUUCAUCGUAGCUCUCCCCACUCUAUUGGUGUCCUUCUC
rnacentral:lncRNA from 1 species